rnacentral:rRNA from 1 species
AUGGAUGACUCUUCUUCUUUGAGCCCCAGGUUGUGGCAAAAAACCCUAUUGCUAGCACUUGCAGGAAAGCUCAACCAAAACCAAAAGGCGCGGCCGUUGGUGGAUUUCUGGUGGUACCUCAAGGAGACCUUCCCAGGUGACCCAUUCCACGUGGCGGUGCCGGUGCGUGAGCGAGCUGCCAGACCGCACGUGGCGGCGGCGCUUCGAUACUUCUUCCCGUUCCUGGAGUGGGCGCCAGCCUAUGGGCUGGGCACCUCAAGUCGGACCUCAUCGCCGGUGGGCUAA